AUUGAACGCUGGCGGCAUGCUUUACACAUGCAAGUCGAACGGUAACAGGUCUUCGGAUGCUGACGAGUGGCGAACGGGUGAGUAAUGCAUCGGAACGUGCCCGGUCGUGGGGGAUAACGCAGCGAAAGCUGCGCUAAUACCGCAUACGAUCUAUGGAUGAAAGCGGGGGACCGUAAGGCCUCGCGCGAUUGGAGCGGCCGAUGUCAGAUUAGGUAGUGUGUGGGGUAAAGGCCCACCAAGCAAACGAUCUGUAGCUGGUCUGAGGGGACGAUGAGCCACACUGGGACGGAGACACGGCCCAGACUCCUACUGGAGGCAGCAGUGGGGAAUUUUGGACAAUGGGCGCAAGCCUGAUCCGGCAAUGCCGCGUGCAGGAAGAAGGCCUUCGGGUUGUAAACUGCUUUUGUACGGAACGAAACGGCCCUCUCUAAUACAGAGGGCUAAUGACGGUACCGUAAGAAUAAGCACCGGCUAACUACGUGCCAGCCGCCGCGGUAAUAC
rnacentral:rRNA from 1 species